UCCCUCUGAAGUUUCCUUCAGGAUAGCUGGAGCCCUUAGCGAGUUCUAUCGGGUAAAGCCAAUGAUUAGAGGCAUCGGGGGCGCAACGCCC
rnacentral:ncRNA from 1 species